AUUGAACGCUGGCGGAAUGCUUUACACAUGCAAGUCGAACGGCAGCACGGGGCAACCUGGUGGCGAGUGGCGAACGGGUGAGUAAUACAUCGGAACGUGCCCAAUCGUGGGGGAUAACGUAGCGAAAGCUACGCUAAUACCGCAUACGAUCUACGGAUGAAAGCGGGGGAUCGCAAGACCUCGCGCGAAUGGAGCGGCCGAUGGCAGAUUAGGUAGUUGGUGGGGUAAAGGCUCACCAAGCCGACGAGCUGUAGCUGGUCUGAGAGGACGACCAGCCACACUGGGACUGAGACACGGCCCAGACUCCUACGGGAGGCAGCAGUGGGGAAUUUUGGACAAUGGGCGCAAGCCUGAUCCAGCCAUUCCGCGUGCAGGAUGAAGGCCUUCGGGUUGUAAACUGCUUUUGUACGGAACGAAAAGGCUCUGGUUAAUACCCGGGGCUCAUGACGGUACCGUAAGAAUAAGCACCGGCUAACUACGUGCCAGCCGCCGCCGUAA
rnacentral:rRNA from 1 species